rnacentral:rRNA from 1 species
CCUACGGGAGGCAGCAGUGAGGAAUAUUGGUCAAUGGACGAGAGUCUGAACCAGCCAAGUAGCGUGAAGGAUGACUGCCCUAUGGGUUGUAAACUUCUUUUAUAUGGGAAUAAAAUGUUCCACGUGUGGGAUUUUGUAUGUACCAUAUGAAUAAGGAUCGGCUAACUCCGUGCCAGCAGCCGCGGUAAUACGGAGGAUCCGAGCGUUGUCCGGAUUUAUUGGGUUUGAGGGGAGCGUAGGUGGAUUGUUAAGUCAGUUGUGAAAGUUUGCGGCUCAACCGUAAAAUUGCAGUUGAAACUGGCAGUCUUGAGUACAGUAGAGGUGGGCGGAAUUCGUGGUGUAGCGGUGAAAUGCUUAGAUAUCACGAAGAACUCCGAUUGCGAAGGCAGUUCACUGGACUGCAACUGACACUGAGGCUCGAAAGUGUGGGUAUCAAACAGGAUUAGAUACCCGAGUAGUC